UACGUAGGUGGCAAGCGUUGUCCGGAUUUACUGGGCGUAAAGAGCUCGUAGGCGGUGUGUCGCGUCGGCCGUGAAAACCUGCAGCUUAACUGUGGGCUUGCGGUCGAUACGGGCAUCACUGGAGUUCGGCAGGGGAGACUGGAAUUCCUGGUGUAGCGGUGAAAUGCGCAGAUAUCAGGAGGAACACCGGUGGCGAAGGGCGGGGUCUCCUGGGCCGAUACUGACGCUGAGGAGCGAAAGCGUGGGGAGCGAACAGG
rnacentral:rRNA from 1 species